AACGAACGCUGGCGGCAGGCCUAACACAUGCAAGUCGAACGCCCUAGCAAUAGGGAGUGGCAGACGGGUGAGUAACACGUGGGAACCUUCCCUAUAGUAUGGAAUAGCCCAGGGAAACUUGGAGUAAUACCGUAUACGCCCGAGAGGGGAAAGAUUUAUCGCUAUAGGAUGGGCCCGCGUAGGAUUAGCUAGUUGGUGAGGUAAUGGCUCACCAAGGCGACGAUCCUUAGCUGGUCUGAGAGGACGACCAGCCACACUGGGACUGAGACACGGCCCAGACUCCUACGGGAGGCAGCAGUGGGGAAUAUUGGACAAUGGGCGCAAGCCUGAUCCAGCCAUGCCGCGUGAGUGAUGAAGGCCUUAGGGUUGUAAAGCUCUUUUGCCGGGGACGAUAAUGACGGUACCCGGAGAAUAAGUCCCGGCUAACUUCGUGCCAGCAGCCGCGGUAAU
rnacentral:rRNA from 1 species